AAUAUAGCUCAAUGGAGGAAACUCUGAUGCAGCGACGCUGCGAGAUCGAUGAAGGCUUCCGAUUGGUAAAGUUCUGCCCUAGGGGACGAGAAUGACGGUACCCGCGGAGGAAGCUCCGGCGACCUACGUGCAAGCAGCCGCGGUAAUACGUAUGGGGCAAGCGUUGUCCGGAUUUAUUGGGCGUAAGGGGUUCGCAGGCGGGCUUUUAAGUCAGAUGUGAAAGACUACAGCGCAACUGUAGUAAGCAUUUGAAACUAAAAGGCUUGAGUUAAGGAGAGGAAAGUGGAAUUCCUAGUGUAGCGGUGAAAUGCGUAGAUAUUAGGAGGACUACCAGUGGCGAAAGCGACUUUCUGGACUUAUACUGACGCUGAGGAGCGAAAGCGUGGGGAGCAAACAGG
rnacentral:rRNA from 1 species